AGAGUUUGAUCCUGGCUCAGGAUGAACGCUAGCGGCAGGCUUAACACAUGCAAGUCGAGGGGCAGCGGGGAGGAAGCUUGCUUUCUCCGCCGGCGACCGGCGCACGGGUGAGUAACACGUAUGCAACCUGCCCCUGUCAGGGGGACAACCCGCCGAAAGGCGGGCUAAACCCGCGUACAUGCCACCGGGGCAUCCCGGAGGCAGGAAAGGCUUCGGCCGGACAGGGAUGGGCAUGCGGCGCAUUAGGCAGUAGGCGGGGUAACGGCCCACCUAACCGACGAUGCGUAGGGGUUCUGAGAGGAAGGUCCCCCACACUGGUACUGAGACACGGACCAGACUCCUACGGGAGGCAGCAGUGAGGAAUAUUGGUCAAUGGUCGGGAGACUGAACCAGCCAAGCCGCGUGAGGGAGGAAGGUACAGAGUAUCGUAAACCUCUUUUGUCAGGGAACAAAGGCGGGGACGUGUCCCCGGAUGAGUGUACCUGAAGAAAAAGCAUCGGCUAACUCCGUGCCAGCAGCCGCGGUAAUACGGAGGAUGCGAGCGUUAUCCGGAUUUAUUGGGUUUAAAGGGUGCGCAGGCGGUCUGUUAAGUCAGCGGUCAAAGCCCGGGGCUCAACCCCGGCCCGCCGUUGAAACUGGCAGUCUCGAGUUGGAGAGAAGUAUGCGGAAUGCGCGGUGUAGCGGUGAAAUGCAUAGAUAUCGCGCAGAACUCCGAUUGCGAAGGCAGCAUGCCGGCUCCACACUGACGCUGAGGCACGAAAGCGUGGGUAUCGAACAGGAUUAGAUACCCUGGUAGUCCACGCAGUAAACGAUGAAUGCUGGCUGUCCGGGGGGAUUGACCCCUGGGUGGCGAAGCGAAAGCGAUAAGCAUUCCACCUGGGGAGUACGCCGGCAACGGUGAAACUCAAAGGAAUUGACGGGGGCCCGCACAAGCGGAGGAACAUGUGGUUUAAUUCGAUGAUACGCGAGGAACCUUACCCGGGCUCAAACGGGGAGUGUCUCAGGCAGAGACGCCUGUUUCCCACGGGACACUCCCCGAGGUGCUGCAUGGUUGUCGUCAGCUCGUGCCGUGAGGUGUCGGCUUAAGUGCCAUAACGAGCGCAACCCCCGCGUGCAGUUGCUAACAGAUAACGCUGAGGACUCUGCACGGACUGCCGGCGCAAGCCGCGAGGAAGGCGGGGAUGACGUCAAAUCAGCACGGCCCUUACGUCCGGGGCGACACACGUGUUACAAUGGGUGGUACAGCGGGAAGCCAGGCGGCGACGCCGAGCGGAACCCGAAAUCCACUCUCAGUUCGGAUCGGAGUCUGCAACCCGACUCCGUGAAGCUGGAUUCGCUAGUAAUCGCGCAUCAGCCAUGGCGCGGUGAAUACGUAAGCGGGCCUUGCA
rnacentral:rRNA from 1 species